ACAGGGAGCAUUGUGUGCAAUACU
rnacentral:siRNA from 1 species